rfam:Candidatus Levybacteria bacterium RIFCSPHIGHO2_01_FTLL_40_15b rifcsphigho2_01_scaffold_12368, whole genome shotgun sequence.
GGCGCCUUCGUCUAGCGGUCCAGGACACAGGGCUUUCAUCCCUGUAAUCACGGGUUCGAAUCCCGUAGGCGUCA